GUUCUGGUCCCUCUCACUGCCAGCUCUGGGUGCUUGUGGCAAAGAGAGGAUGAGCCCUCCGUAGCUCUCCUCUGGCUGCCCUGCAUCCACUGGAGAGACACGUGUGUACUCUGCGCUGGUGGCUGGGGACAGAGGGACCCCUCGGAUGGACAGACAGGGCUGCAGCGGGGCAUCUCCUGGCAUUUUUCUGACCUUGGUCAGGGAGAGGGUGAUUGCGGACGCUCUGACCAGCUGAAGGCAUUUCCCUGCUGCGGGCACGGAUGUUCUGCAACCAGAAAACUGGAAGGUUUGGGGAUCGCACCGAUCCAGCAAUAAUUCCCUCCACCAGGCACGGGUGACCUCUGAGCCCGGGGCCACCUCCAC